UGUGUGUGAGGGUGUUGUGUGUGUAUGUGAGGGGUGCAGUGUGUGUGAGGUGUGUAGUGUGUUAGUGAUGGGUGCUGUGUUUGCGUGAGGGUGCUAUGUGGGUAAGGGUGCUGUGUGUGUGUGCUGUGUGUGAUUGGGUGCUGUGUUUGCGUGAGGGUGCCAUGUGCGUAUGAGGAAGCUGUGUGUGUCAGGGGUGCAGUGUGUGUGUGUGUGUGUGUUGGUGUUGUAAGUGUUAGGGCUGCAGUGAGUGUGUGCUGUGCGUGUCAGGGGUGCAGUGAGUGUGUGCUGUGCGUGUCAGGGGUGCAGUGUGUGUGUGUGUGUGUGAGGGUGCUGUAAGUGUUAGGGGUGCAGUGUGUGUGUGCUGUGAGUGUCAGGGGUGCAGUGUGUGUGUGUGUGAGUGAGGGUGCUGUGAGUGUCAGGGGUGCAGUGUGUGUGUG
rnacentral:lncRNA from 1 species